CCUACGGGUGGCAGCAGUGGGGAAUAUUGCACAAUGGGGGAAACCCUGAUGCAGCGACGCCGCGUGAGUGAAGAAGUAUUUCGGUAUGUAAAGCUCUAUCAGCAGGGAAGAAAAUGACGGUACCUGACUAAGAAGCCCCGGCUAACUACGUGCCAGCAGCCGCGGUAAUACGUAGGGGGCAAGCGUUAUCCGGAUUUACUGGGUGUAAAGGGAGCGUAGACGGCGCGGCAAGUCUGAAGUGAAAGGCAGGGGCCCAACCCCGGGAGUGCAUUUGAAACUGUCUGGCUAGAGUGCAGGAGAGGUAAGUGGAAUUCCUAGUGUAGCGGUGAAAUGCAUAGAUAUUAGGAGGAACACCAGUGGCGAAGGCGGCUUACUGGACUGUAACUGACACUGAGGCUCG
rnacentral:rRNA from 1 species